AUGAAGGCACUGAUCUUGAUGGGUGGGUAUGGGACACGGUUGCGGCCGCUGACGGUGAGCACUCCGAAGCCAUGGGUGGACUUCUGCAAUAAGCCCAUCUUGCUGCAUCAAGUGGAGGCGCUUGCUGCGGCAGGUGUGGACCAUGUGAUCCUGGCAGUGAGCUACAUGUCACAGAUGUUGGAGAAGGAAAUGAAGGCACAAGAGCAAAGGGUUGGAAUCCGAAUCUCUAUGUCUCAUGAAGAGGAGCCUUUGGGGAUAGCUGGGCCUCUGGCGUUGGCCCGAGACCUACUAUCUGAGACUGCCGACCCUUUCUUCGUUCUCAACAGUGAUGUGAUAUGUGAUUUCCCCUUCCAAGCCAUGGUGCAGUUUCAUCGACACCAUGGCCAAGAGGGCUCCGUCUUGGUUACCAAGGUGGAAGAGCCUUCCAAGUAUGGUGUGGUGGUAUGUGAGGCUGACACAGGCCGCAUCCACUGUUUUGUUGAGAAGCCACGGGUGUUUGUGUCCAGUAAGAUCAACGCAGGCAUGUACAUCCUGAGCCCUGCUGUGCUGCAGCGCAUCCAGCUGAAGCCUACAUCCAUUGAGAAGGAGAUCUUCCCAGUUAUGGCCAAGGAGGGGCAGCUAUAUGCCAUGGAGCUGCAGGGCUUCUGGAUGGACAUUGGACAGCCCAAGGAUUUCCUCACUGGCAUGUGCCUCUUCCUACAAUCGCUGAGACAGAAGCAUCCAGAGAGACUGUACUCAGGCCCUGGCAUUGUGGGGAAUGUACUUGUGGACCCAAGUGCCCGUAUCGGUGAGAACUACAGCACUGGCCCCAAUGUAAGCCUGGGUCCUGGUGUGGUGGUGGAGGAUGGUGUGUGCAUCCGGCGAUGCACUGUGCUUCGUGAUGCUCACAUCCGCUCCCAUUUCUGGCUUGAGUCAUGCAUCGUGGGCUGGCGCUGCCGUGUGGGCCAAUGGGUGCUCAUGGAGAACGUAACCAUGCUGGGUGAGGAUGUCAUAGUUAAUGAUGAACUGUACCUCAAUGGAGCCAGCGUGCUGCCCCACAAGUCUAUCGAGGAGUCGGUACCAGAACCUCGUAUUAUCAUGUGA